GCCAGUGUGAUGUAGUGGUUUAAGAGUUGGACUAUGAUCCUGGAGGCCAGGGUUCAAAUCCCAGCCUGGCC